CCCGGCCGCCGAAAAGGGCGGGCGUUUCUGGCCGCCCUCCCCUCACGGAAGGGCCUCGAGACUCGGCCUCCUCUCCAUCACCCCCCUCCCCCCGGCCCGGAGGCCCCAAUCCUCCAUGCGCGAGAACAAACUCGUAAUAGUGGGUGCGGGGAGGAGGAAGAAGAAGCCCCUUUCCUCCUCUGCUGCCUGUGCGUCUGGGUCUGCAGAGAAACAGACGCGGGCGGCAACUCGAGCCUCCGAAGACGCCUGAAUCUGCAGUUUUCCGUUCAGGCUGGUUUGGGUCACGUCCCUGCCACCGGCUUUAAGUUAAAUUAUUUAAGUGGCAGGAAGAAGCAGGCCGCCUAUUCACACGUAGGGAGAAAAUGGCCUAGGCCUGGCUAAAUCGUUCAAUUAGCAUAACAGACCUGAACAUUUGAGAGCCGGACCAAAAUCCCGCCCCCCGAUCUGACUCCCCCUCCCUGGGUACCCCCCUUCACCCCCUCGGUAUAUAUGGCAGUGUCCUUGAGGGUCUACAUUUUGCUCCGGACGCAGGUCAAAAGGAUGAGUUUGGCCUAGCUUGGCCCCAACCGUCUAGUCCCGUCCGCUGGGGAAACGUAUCUGCCACCCGGUCAUCGUUAAAGUUAGACUGUAUCAUAGAAACUGUUCCAAUAACAGGCAGGGUGGCAAAGCCAUUUUACAGCUUUUGGUUAAAAUGACCUAUAAAUUGCAGGUGCACAACAGCUACAGUUGUCAGAAUCGAGCAAUUAAUAGCCUGACGGUCUGAUAAACAGUUGUUUGAAGCUGUUCUUUAGAUGGAAUGAAUACACAUGAAUGGAGAGACUACAUGAUCACUACCUUGCCGAGAUUGCAACAUUUGACGGUAAAAAUCUAACCUAAAGAAAUAUUCUCUGAAAUAAUCAUUUGUAGGAGACCUAAGAAAUGAAAAUUCCCCCCCCCACCCCAUAAAAUGAAAUCUUAAAAUUGAGCAUAAUCAAGACGCAGGCCAGGGUUAGCAAAAGAUGUCUGAAACUGAAAAUCUGGAAAGGUGUAUAUUUUAUGUGAAUGGAAAUUGAUGGAAAGCUGAUCCAGUAUUUCCUAGUGUGAAAUCAUUCCCCUUGAAAGUGAUUUUAAUAAAUUAAUAUUGGAUCAUGUUAAUUAGGUGAGAAAACAAUCUAGUGAGUCUGAAGCAGUCAUUUCAAUUUUAACUUACAUACCAAACUUCUUCUUGGAGGAUGUAUACCAGAUGUAGAAGUCAUUCUCUUAUAAUAUGAGUAAAUAGGAAGGAUUGCAAACAUUAAAGAAUGUCUUCCUUA